rnacentral:lncRNA from 1 species
UGUAACCAGAGACCAGUGUCAACAAGGAAUCUGGCUUGGAACGCUUUUGUCUGCAGCCCUCUUUGGAGCGUGACUUGCUCUUUCAGAGGUCUGUAUUUCUCUACCUGGACUACCCUGAGAGCUAACCCCAGUUAUUGGUCUGGAAGCAACGAAUGAAGGCCGGGGCAGAGCUUGAGGAGGGCAACAUCAUUUUGUCACAGUCGCCAUCAAGAAUCUA